UGGUGCGGCUAGCUCUAAGAAUAACCCAGGCAGGCAGGGCAGAAUAGCCUGGGUUAAGGUUACCUUGAAGCCUCUGUCCCGUCCUAAGCUUCCUGAUCUACACCAAUCAUGGACAGGGGAAACUUUUAGGCUGGAUCCCGAACUCUCCACUGGCCGGCCCUGGAACUUUUCCCCUCGACUUUUUGCUCUCUUCCUGGACAUUAACUGAACCUCUUCAGAGACCCUGAGACUGUGACCCUUUGAAUUAUUUUAAAUUGUGAUUCUUUAGGGGGGAUUAAACAUCCAGUCCAGACACCAGGUGUAAUAUAUUUAGGGUCUCUUUGCAUGGUCCCAUCCUCUCCUUGACGAUCAGGACUCAAACAGGAUUAGCCCUGAGGCGCUGCAUGUAUAUUUUUCAACACAACUCUGUUGCUGAAAUUACAUUUUCAAAACUGCCAUGACUGAGGGAGUCGAAGCGCAAUCCUUCACCACAACCAUGGUCAUUGAGAGCAAAAAUGGAGAGGCAGGACACCCUCCAGCCAGGGUGACCAAGAGGACCGCGACUGACGACCUGUACACCACCUUCAGUUCCCCUAUGGCCUGGAUCCUGGUCGUAGCCCUGGUCGUCACCUGGUCUUGUGUGGCCAUCAUCAUGUUUGACCUGAUGGACUACAAGGGCCUCACAGAUCAUACAUUAUACUGUGACGACCCCUGUUUGCCACCUGGGGUCUCCCCACCUCCCGCUGUCAGGAAAGUAAUUAAGGAUGCAGGAAGGUCUAGAGGAAGCAUUCAGCAUAUCAGCUCGGACCCCAUGAAAGUGGUGAACGAGGCGGUGGAGGAGUCCACUGACUGGGGCAAACUGCUUCUGACCUUUGUCUCCAGCCUGGUAGCACCCGAGGAGGAGGAAAUCGAAGGUGAGCUACAUCCAGUUAAGAAAAAAGCUGCAUUCCUACCGUCCAGAAAACAAGUUGCAGGGAUGUUUGCCGAGGAAAAGGAACCAGUUGCGGAAUUAGAGGAGGAGGAGGAGGAGAAGGAAGAUGAUGUCGAUGAAGUGGAAGAUGAGGAAGAGGAUGGAGAGGAUGAGGAUAUGGAAGAAGUGGAUGAAGAUGAGGAAGAAGAUGAUGAGGAUGAGGAAGAGGAGGAAGAAGAUGAAGAAGAGGAUGAGGAAGCAGCAGCUGAGGCCGAGGUAGAUGAGGAUGAUGAUGAUGAUGAUGAUGAUGGUGAAGCAGAUGAAGAGGACUCUGCUGCAGCGACUGAAGAAGAUGAUGAUGAGGACGAAGAGGUGGCUUCAGAGGCUGAUGAUGAGGAGGGUGAUGAUGAGGAGGAAGAAGUUCCUUCAGAGGCUGAUAAUGAGGAGGAGGAUGAUGAGGAGAAGGAAGAGGCUGCUCCACAUGCUGAUUAUGAGGAUGAGGAGGAGGAGGAAGAGGCUACUCCACAGGCUGAUGAUGAGGAUGAGGAAGAGGCUGCUCCAGAGGUGGCUGCUGCCGAGACUGAUGAUGAGGAAGAGGAGGAGGAAGAAGCAGCUGCAGCUGAUGAGGUGGCAGAGGAAAAUGAAGGUGAAGAUGAAGCUGCUGCAGAGGUCAUUGCUGAGAUUGAUGAGGAUGAGGGCCCCAUUCUGAUUGAUGUUGAUGACACAGAGACAGACACUUCUGUUGGAGAUGAUGGAGAGGAGGAUGACACCAUAGCUGAAGCUGAAACUGAAGUAAUUACAGAUGAGGAUGCCAGUGAUGCUGCUGCUGAUGCUUCCACUGAUAAUGAUGAUGGUGAUAAUGAAGAGGAUGAAAAUGCUGUAGCUGGUCCUGCUGCUGCUGCCAGUGAUGAAGCCACAGAUGAUGCUCCUGUUUCGACUGCAGAUGAUGAUGAUGAUGAUGAUGUUGAUGAGGAAGAUCAUAGCAUAGAUGUUGACCAAACAGAUGAUGAUACUAAACCCAUUGACCUAGAAGAUGACGAUGAUAAUCUUGCUGAUAGUGAGGAUAUGGAUAUCUCAGACACAUUAGCUGAGGAUACAACUGAUGACUCUACAGAUUUAGAGGACACUGAUGAUGACGAUGAUGGCAAAGUCAGUGAAGACAGUGGUGCCGUCGUUGAUGACGAUGACAAUGACAAAACAGUCGAGGAUUCAGGAGAGACUGUUAGAGAUGUCGCAGACAUUUCUCAUGACACAGAAGACGAUGAUGAUGAUGAUGAUGAUGAUGAUGAUGAUGAUGAGGUGAAGGAUUCAGCUGAAGAGAUCGGCAAAGAAGAUGACGACGAGGAUAAUGAAAUCAUAACCGAAGCCUUUGAUAGCUCAGCACCUGAAGAAGAUGAUCUAUCCAAGGAUGAUGACGAUGAUGAUGAUGACAUUGAUGACCUUCUUUUGACAGAACUAAAGGUCAAGCAAGCUACUCCUCCUGCAGAACAAGUAGUGUGCCCUUGUAUGCAUUCAUCCAAGCCCAAAGAGGCCACAAGCGAGCCAACGGAGGGGAAAGAGGCAGAGCCCCCUAAAAAGGAACCAGUAGUGAGAGCUAAGAGAGAGCGUGACAUGUGCAGGCCAGUUGACAAGGAAAAAAGGAGAGAGGCUGCAAGGAAAUUGGAAUUAGAAGCGGCGAUCAGGAAGAGAGAACUAAGACUUAAAAAGGAAGCGAAGGCCACAAAGGAAGAGUCUCAUCAUGUAGAUGCUGGGGUGCCUGCACCUGCACCUGCGCCAGUUCCCGCCUGUCAACCCACACCAGUCUACUGGCCAUCAUCAUCUCCAGGCUGGUAUUUGCAUCAUAUAUUCACAGACAAUCCAUUUCCACCUACAACUAUGACAGCUCAUCCAGCUCAGCCAUUUUACCAAGCUCCUCCAGCUUAUCAAGCUCCUCCAGCUUAUCAAGCUCCUCCAGCUUAUCAAGUUUAUCAAGCUCCUCCAGUUUAUCAAGCUCCUCCAGCUCAACCAGCACCAGCUCAACCAGCACCAGCUCAACCAGCUCAACCAACAGCUCCAGUUCUACCGGCUGAACCAGCACCUGCACCAGCACCUGGACCAGCACCUGGACCAGCACCAGCUCCAUCGACUCAAGAACCACAGGCUCCCAAAGAAAAGGCUGCCUCCACAAAGAAGGUUCCAAAGGAAAAGACCAAGGCAGCUGCCUCAAAGACGGAGUCUCCUAAAGGAAAAGUUAAGACGCAAGAACUUGCGGUGUCCAAAGGGAAGUUCAAACCAGCUGUUGUGAAGAAAGGAGCUGUUGUCUCUGAAGAAAAGGCAAAACCUUCCACGACAAAGAAAGUUUCAGAGGUUGUUGUUUCCAAAGAUAAAGCUAAAACAACAACUGCCAAGAAAGAUCCUGUGGAAAAGGACAAGGACAAAAUAACUCCUCCAAAGAAAGAGCCUGCAAUCUCCAAAGAAAAAGUCAAGGCAACCACUAGCCAGACAACCACACCCUCUACCAAGAAAGUUGUUUUCGAACCCGAGGCCCCUAAAGAGAAAGCCACUCCAAGAGUCCCCACUAUGAGAAAAGGUAACCACACAAAUGUAGUGGUGCCAAUGGCAAAAGCCACCGGAAGAGUUGUCGCUAUAAGACCCACGUCUACGAGAAAAGUUAGCCACACAGCAAUUGAAAUGUUUUUCACACUAAAUACAGAUUCUUUUCAGUUAGAUACAAUGAAAAUUGGAAUCAGGCUGUCUAACUGUGCUCACACUUUUAGGCCCCUGCAAUGAAGGAGAAGCUAACUCGCGCACCUGAAGCAGGCACAGUAAAGUGCAUCAGUCCCAUCUAUUAGUGUGCAGAGCAGAAACGGAGUAUUAUGUCUUUCACUGUUUUCCCUUUGCAUUUUUAUUACGUGGUACAUGAAUAGAAACGUCUUCCCAUCAGCAAAAGAGAAACCGAAAGUGGCAGAGAGAAAAAGUAAGAAUGAGUUGACUUAUGCUUCGAGUGGACUUUUGAGUUUUUUUUUGUGGAAACAAACAGGUUAACACUUCAAGGGAAGUUACAGGUAGUUGCGAGCAGAUACCCAUAUACUUCCAAUCACGGCGCUAAUGUUGGUUAGCAUUGGCUGGCGAACUUCCUUCAUACUGGACACAGAGACAUAAGAAUGGUACCCACUAAUUCGUCUGACUCUGGGGAAGUUGUCAAAAUCCUGAAGUAUCCAUUUUUAAACAGCUGAAACACCUAAUGGUUAUGAAACCUACAGGAUGACCCCUAUUAGCAGAGUGGGAGCUUGGUUUUUUACACAAUAUAUAAUAAUAUGUCACUUGCAAAAAAUCCUUCAGAAGGAUGCUGCAACAUCUCUAAUACAUCCAGUUUUUCCUCCAGUUAUCUCUCGAUGUUAAUAAGAUUAUGCUAUUCCAUUUCCUCUGUUGGUGAAUACCGUCAUCGCGUGCUCAACCCUCCAUCACAUUACUAUGGCAACCCUUCCCCGAGGCCCACAACAUGGAUGAGUUUAUUUCCUCGCUCAAUUAUUGUAUUGGCUAAACAAGUAUGAACAACCUCGGAAAUGCAGCAUACCGAAUAACUGAAUACGUGUUCUGCGGAGCAUGGAGCGAUCAGGUCAUGUAUGUAGGUUGGAGUCUCUCAUACAGGCAUCCUGAUUGUCUCCACACUCUCCUGAGCAGUUAAAUGUAGGGUUCAAAUGUUUACCUGACAUUUCUUUUUUUGUCUACCCUCGGCAUAUGUUCUGCUCCUUCCACCCAAUGCCUAAUUUCCUCCCUGUAUCUAGCCCAUUACCAUAGGAUCCCUCUCUGAAUUACCUCCCUGUAUACUGCCUGCGGUUUGUCUGCAUGGUAGAGCAAAGUGCCGAUUUACUGACCUGGGUAAUGGGUUUGGAAGAACUUCACUCCAGAUGUACAGUAAUUCCCUUCAAGGACUUGAACUCUAAAAUCAAACACAAACAGUGGGACAUCUGUGAAAACAAAACAAACAUGGUUAACUCUAUAUGGCUUUGCUGUGUUUUGACUACAUUGAUGAUAAGCAUACAGUAGGGUGAAAUAGGGUGUCAUCUGGGUAUUACAUAUCCUUUUGCAUAACUGAUGAAUCUCUCUUCAUUAGAAUGAAUAAGUGAUUUCAACGGUUUUUAACUCCCUUGUCUAGUUCCAAAGAAAGAACCUGGUAGCUUUGUGAGAUUCUCAAAAGCUGGCCUUUAACCCUAUAAAACACACUUCUGUGCGAUUUACCCUGGCUUUACCCUGAGGCUGUUUACACCAGCCAAAGAUGAAUUUAAAAAGUCCCCUUUGCAUUGUUUUAUAGAGCUUUGUGCUGAAACGUAUCUUGUAAAGGGUCACAUGUUGGUGUUGUUGUAGAUUGUUGUGUAGGCAAAACAAGUAGCUAAUGACGGAACAUUUUAUCUGUGGAGUUUCUUAGAUUGGAUUCUUAUUGGGGUCAAAACCCAGACUCCUGUUGUAUGUCUUGCUGCACUGCAGGCAAUACAUUGUACAGCACUGAAAUCCGAUUUAUACAUUCCCACACAAGGUUAGGGAAAGAGUAUGCGUAGAGUAUGUGUAAUGUAACAUCUUCAAAGAGUUUUUUAUAAAAGACGGUAAUCUAUUUGGAUUUGUGAUAUAGAUGGACCCGGUGACUGCUAAGACUGGCAUGUUCCUACUGUUUGACGUUUUCACAGCUAGAUUAGAAUUCAUGUGUUUGAUUAGAAUGCAUGUGUUUGAUUAGAAUGCAUGUGUUUGAUUAGAAUGCAUGUGUUUGAUUAGAAUGCAUGUGUUUGAUUAGAAUGCAUGUGUUUGAUUAGAAUGCAUGUGUUUGAUUAGAAUGCAUGUGUUUGAUUAGAAUGCAUGUGUUUGAUUAGAAUGCAUGUGUUUGAUUAGAAUGCAUGUGUUUGAUUAGAAUGCAUGUGUUUGAUUAGAAUGCAUGUGUUUGAUUAGAAUGCAUGUGUUUGAUUAGAAUGCAUGUGUUUGAUUAGAAUGCAUGUCACUCAUAUACAUCUUUCCUCCUUGCAUAAGAAGAAGACAAGGUGAAGGAUGUGAAGACAUCAGGCGCCAAAGCUAAAGCCACACACUCGGUGAAGACGGCCCAGCCCACUAAACCACAUAAAGCUGAGAAGGCUGAGAAGACUAAAAAGACUGAGAAGGCUGAGAAGACUGAGAAGGCU